rnacentral:rRNA from 1 species
UACCCGCGCCACAAGUGGUGACCGCAAUUAUUGGGUUUAAAGCAUCCGUAGCCGGCUCGACAAGUCUCUGAUUAAAUCUCUCGUUAACCGGGAGGCUGUUAGAGAUACUAUCGAGCUAGGAACCAGGAGAGGUCUGGGGUACUUUUGGGGUAAGGGUGAAAUCUGUUGAUCCUAAAGGGACCACCGAUGGCGAAGGCACCAGACUAGAAUGGCUUCGACGGUGAGGGAUGAAAGCUAGGGGAGCG